rnacentral:rRNA from 1 species
GACGAACGCUGGCGGCGUGCUUAACACAUGCAAGUCGAACGGAAAGGCCCUGCUUUUGUGGGGUGCUCGAGUGGCGAACGGGUGAGUAACACGUGAGUAACCUGCCCUUGACUUUGGGAUAACUUCAGGAAACUGGGGCUAAUACCGGAUAGGAGCUCCUGCUGCAUGGUGGGGGUUGGAAAGUUUCGGCGGUUGGGGAUGGACUCGCGGCUUAUCAGCUUGUUGGUGGGGUAGUGGCUUACUAAGGCUUUGACGGGUAGCCGGCCUGAGAGGGUGACCGGCCACAAUGGGACUGAGAUACGGCCCAGACUCCUACGGGAGGCAGCAGUGGGGAAUAUUGCACAAUGGGCGGAAGCCUGAUGCAGCAACGCCGCGUGCGGGAUGACGGCCUUCGGGUUGUAAACCGCUUUCGCCUGUGACGAAGCGUGAGUGACGGUAAUGGGUAAAGAAGCACCGGCUAACUACGUG